AAGAAAAUUGACAUAGAAUGUGUUAUAGACUUAAUAGGGAAUAAAGUGAAAAUCUUUAACUACCCCAGUAACCGUGAAACUGACGAAAUCUUUAUUAUAGCCACUGCGAAAGCGGGAAGGUAAGAGAGAGUAGGAUGAAGUAAAGUCGGGAGACCUGCAUUUUAUGAUGAAUUAUU
rnacentral:ncRNA from 1 species